CUCAAGACACAAGAGUUCAGCACUCUCUCAGAAAUGUUAGCUUGGACUCAACUGGUGGCUGGGAUGCAGUGUACAGUUUCUCUCUAAGCUUCCUGGAGGCUAAGAUGAAUAUAUUUGGAACUUUCCAUCAAAGGAAUUCACUGAGAAAUGAGACAGUAAUAAGAGCUUGUGGUAAAACAUUGCUGUUCCAGCUAUCUCUUCCUGCAUUAAAAACUAGCCCAAAAGUUGUGGCUUAAAACAGUGA